rnacentral:rRNA from 1 species
GAUGAACGCUGGCGGCGUGCCUAAUACAUGCAAGUCGAGCGAACAGACGAGGAGCUUGCUCCUCUGACGUUAGCGGCGGACGGGUGAGUAACACGUGGAUAACCUACCUAUAAGACUGGGAUAACUUCGGGAAACCGGAGCUAAUACCGGAUAAUAUAUUGAACCGCAUGGUUCAAUAGUGAAAGACGGUUUUGCUGUCACUUAUAGAUGGAUCCGCGCCGCAUUAGCUAGUUGGUAAGGUAACGGCUUACCAAGGCAACGAUGCGUAGCCGACCUGAGAGGGGGGACGGGCCAACCGGGAACGGGAAAACGGCCCAGAACCCAAGGGGGGGCAGAAGUAGGGAAUUUCCGGAAAGGGGGGAAAGCCGGAGGGAGAAACGCGGGGGGGGUGAGGAAGGGUUUCGGAUGGUAAAACCUUGUUAUGAGGAAAAAAAAAAUGGGAAAGUAACUAUGCACGUUUGGACGGUACUUAAUAAAAAAGCCACGGCUAACUAGGU